GGCGAACGCUGGCGGCGUGCUUAACACAUGCAAGUCGAACGGAAAGGCCCUGCUUUUGUGGGGUGCUCGAGUGGCGAACGGGUGAGUAACACGUGAGUAACCUGCCCUUGACUUUGGGAUAACUUCAGGAAACUGGGGCUAAUACCGGAUAGGAGCUCCUGCUGCAUGGUGGGGGUUGGAAAGUUUCGGCGGUUGGGGAUGGACUCGCGGCUUAUCAGCUUGUUGGUGGGGUAGUGGCUUACCAAGGCUUUGACGGGUAGCCGGCCUGAGAGGGUGACCGGCCACAUUGGGACUGAGAUACGGCCCAGACUCCUACGGGAGGCAGCAGUGGGGAAUAUUGCGCAAUGGGCGGAAGCCUGAUGCAGCAACGCCGCGUGCGGGAUGACGGCCUUCGGGUUGUAAACCGCUUUCGCCUGUGACGAAGCGUGAGUGACGGUAAUGGGUAAAGAAGCACCGGCUAACUACGUG
rnacentral:rRNA from 1 species